UACAGAGGUCUCAAGCGUUGUUCGGAUUCAUUGGGCGUAAAGGGUGCGUAGGCGGCGCGGUAAGUCGGGUGUGAAAUCUCGGAGCUUAACUCCGAAACUGCAUUCGAUACUGCCGUGAUUGAGGACUGGAGAGGAGACUGGAAUUUACGGUGUAGCAGUGAAAUGCGUAGAGAUCGUAAGGAAGACCAGUGGCGAAGGCGGGUCUCUGGACAGUUCCUGACGCUGAGACACGAAAGCGUGGGGAGCAAACAGG
rnacentral:rRNA from 1 species